GACGAACGCUGGCGGCGUGCUUAACACAUGCAAGUCGAGCGGUAAGGCCUUUCGGGGUACACGAGCGGCGAACGGGUGAGUAACACGUAGGUGAUCUGCCCUGCACUUCGGGAUAAGCCUGGGAAACUGGGUCUAAUACCGGAUAUGACCUCCUAUCGCAUGGUGGGUGGUGGAAAGAUUUAUCGGUGCAGGAUGGGCCCGCGGCCUAUCAGCUUGUUGGUGGGGUAAUGGCCUACCAAGGCGACGACGGGUAGCCGACCUGAGAGGGUGACCGGCCACACUGGGACUGAGACACGGCCCAGACUCCUACGGGAGGCAGCAGUGGGGAAUAUUGCACAAUGGGCGAAAGCCUGAUGCAGCGACGCCGCGUGAGGGAUGACGGCCUUCGGGUUGUAAACCUCUUUCAGCAGGGACGAAGCGCAAGUGACGGUACCUGCAGAAGAAGCACCGGCUAACUACGUG
rnacentral:rRNA from 1 species